rnacentral:rRNA from 1 species
UUUUAUUUGAGAGUUUGAUCCUGGCUCAGGAUGAACGCUGGCGGCGUGCCUAACACAUGCAAGUUGAGCGAUUUCCUUCGGUAAAGAGCGGCGGACGGGUGAGUAACGCGUGGGUAACCUACCCUGUACACACGGAUAACAUACCGAAAGGUAUGCUAAUACGGGAUAAUAUAUUUGAGAGGCAUCUCUUGAAUAUCAAAGGUGAGCCAGUACAGGAUGGACCCGCGUCUGAUUAGCUAGUUGGUAAGGUAACGGCUUACCAAGGCGACGAUCAGUAGCCGACCUGAGAGGGUGAUCGGCCACAUUGGAACUGAGACACGG